CCUAUCGACUGUGUUUCCCGUCAAUCUAACCUGAACACUCUGGUUCGUUGGUGCUCUGCUAAUGAUUUAGCUCCAGUGUACACGGACUAAACAAGAAAUAGAAAAACCUGCGUUCUACAAGAUUGACUAUGGCAUCGGUAUUGAUAGACAAGGAAGCUUCAUAGUUACCCACAAUUUGCUGCUGAAAUAACCUAAAUGUCACUAAUAUCAAAUAUCAAAAUGAGGAAAGUAACCGCCUUUUCAGAAAACAUUGGAAGACCAUCUUGAAAACUAAAAACCUUUUACUUCCAUUUUUCCAUUUUACCUCGAACAUUUAUAUAAAAAUUUGCAGCGAGUAGAUUGCUUAACACCAAAACCAGAAAUAGUGUAAUUAUCCAGAAGAGAACACAGUUCUGGUCUAUGUAAAAACGGAACUAGCCUCAUUUAAAGGAGUGUAGCAACUUGGAAUGUGUCGUAGUUUUUGAAUUGGUUUCUUGCAUGAA